rnacentral:rRNA from 1 species
GAUGAACGCUAGCUACAGGCUUAACACACGCAAGUCGAGGGGAAACGAUAUUGGAAGCUUGCUUCCGAUAGGCGUCGACCGGCGCACGGGUGAGUAACGCGUAUCCAACCUGCCCACCACUUGGGGAUAACCUUGCGAAAGUAAGACUAAUACCCAAUGAUAUCUCUAGAAGACAUCUGAAAGCGAUUAAAGAUUUAUCGGUGAUGGAUGGGGAUGCGUCUGAUUAGCUUGUUGGCGGGGUAACGGCCCACCAAGGCGACGAUCAGUAGGGGUUCUGAGAGGAAGGUCCCCCACAGUGGAACUGAGACACGGUCCAAAUUCCUACGGGAGGCAGCAGUGAGGAAUAUUGGUCAAUGGGCGAGAGCCUGAACCAGCCAAGUAGCGUGCAGGAUGACGGCCCUAUGGGUUGUAAACUGCUUUUAUAAGGGAAUAAAGUGAGAGUCGUGACUCUUUUUGCAUGUACCUUAUGAAUAAGGACCGGCUAAUUCCGUGCCAGCAGCCGCAGUAACAC